GUGCAGCAGGCGCGAAACUUUACAAUGUGCGAAAGCACGAUAAGGGAACUCUGAGUGCCUCCUAAGGAGGCUGUUCAGGUGUCUAAAAGCACCUGGAGUAAGGGCUGGGUAAGACCGGUGCCAGCCGCCGCGGUAACACCGGCAGCCCGAGGUGGUAGCCACUUUUAUUGGGUCUAAAGCGUCCGUAGCCGGUUGAGUAAGUUCCUUGGGAAAUUUGGCUGCUCAACAGUCAAGCUUCCAGGGAAUACUGCUCGACUUGGGGACUGGGAGAGGUCAGAGGUACUCCAGGGGUAGGGUGAAAUCCAUUAAUCCCUGGGGGACCACCGGUAGCGAAGGCGUCUGACCAGACCAGGUCCGACGGUGAGGGACGAAGGCUAGGGUCGCGAACCGGAUUAGAUA
rnacentral:rRNA from 1 species